UGAGAAGGCCCAGAGACGUGCCUUCCUCUUCUUUCCAGGGUCCUGGCCUGUCUUGUCUGUUGGGCGGGUAUGCUUCCUUCCUGGCCUUCCUUGUGGAGCAUGUCUGGGAGUGUGCUAGGAAAUGAGGGAGGAAAAUAUGUAACUUGAUAUCUGCUCCUUGACCCUGGCUGACCUGGUUAACUCUCUCCAGGAUGGAAGCAAAGCCUGCCCGGGAAACCUUCCAUUGCAGGAACAUCUCGGCCUGAAGCUGUCAUCAGGGAGCAGGAUCUGCUUCCCGGACUCUGAGCAGAACAAUGGGAGCCCCAGCAGGCUGGCGAGGCUGACAAGCCCUAGGACGGUGACCUCUCCGAUCUCCAGAUCGGAAACUCAGAAACGUGUAAGUGCCAGAAUCCGCAUUUGGGAAUCUGUUAUUUCUCCCUCUGCGAGUCAACCUGAUCACCCUGGAAGCCUCACUGUCUCUCAGCCCUUGUUCCCAUUUUUCUUUCCAUGAACACCGCAAUCAGAUACGAGAUUCCAGUAAUGAUGGUUCUUGAAAAUUAAACAAAUCAAAAAGAAAGCCAGCCAAGGUAUGGAGUGGGGGACCUCUAAGUUCCCCUGGAGGAGACACUGGGGCCAGGUUCCGAGGUGCAUUCGGAGCCAGAAUCCCUAAUGGAAUUGAACAAUUAUCCUGAAGCUGCUCUCUGAAAGCCGCGGUUUUCCUAAAACACUGUGCUUGGCGUGCCUGGGCUUCUUGGCACUGGCCCAUGACCCACAGCAGCAAAUCGUUCCCAGGAAGCUAUUGUUAUUUGUGUAUCUGAUAGCAUUCAGCUGAGUACACUGACAGCAACAUUUAGAAAGGAAAAGAAAAAAGAAGCGUAGAGUGAAAAGGACAAAAAGGAGGCUUCCAACAUCCUGGUGGGAACAGAAAACCAGCAAAGCCUCUUUUCCAGCCCUUAUCCUUGUGAGUUUGGACUCUGCAGAACUGUCAUCCCCCAGGCAUAGCUGCAGCUUGUAUGAAGGUGGGCAUCAGGCGCGGAGAUUCAGGACAGUGUGCACCUGCUUUCCUCCAACGGGACCCCCUCUGUUCUUCCCAGGAAUGCCUGUAAACUGCCACUGCCUCUAGGGGCUGCACCAAGUCCCUGUGUACUCCCAGGACACAAUGGAGUGGAAUGGAGUGGCUCUGUUCUGUCAGGGCCUAACAUUCCAAAUGAAUUCAUUCCCUUCUGGGAAAAAAGAACCACCUUGCUCAGAGCACAAUGUUCCCAUGUCUUGGCUUACCUUGAAGCAUUUUUGAUACACCUGUUGGGACAAUGCGUUCUGCCAAGAGAAGGGAAGUAGCAUACUUUGUUCUAUUUUUUACUCUCAAUGGGCUACGUUUCCAUUGUGUUGGUUUCCCUUACAGAAAGUAACACACACAGAAGAGAAGGUUAUAGGAUUCCAUGCUGCUUGGCAAAGGCACAAAAUAUGUGCACAUAUUUACAUGGAAUAUGAGGGUAAACUAGAAAAUUAAGGGUAAUCUAAAAUAGAAAAAAAGAAGAAAACAAUAAGUUAAAAGUAUGAAAAGACAUCCAGAAUGAGCAAGUUACUGAGGUUGUGCCUCAACUUUAGCUUGAGUUUCCUGGCAGCAAAGGUAAAAAGGUGAUCUUACAGCUGGAAAAUCAGUGGGUGAAAACGGAGAUACAGCAACUCUAAUUUUCCAUGAAGUUCAUUUUUACUUUACUUCUGGAAUAAAAACCAUCUGGCUUUAGAAGGAAGAGACCAUACAGAAGGAUGUGGGCUUGACACAGUGACGGGCUCUUGGCAGUCUGAAGAAGCAUGAACCAGAACUAAGCCUGGUCUCUCAGGAUUUGGUGGAUGUCUAAGUUGCAGGGUUAAGAAGUUGCAGUUCCUUCUUUCAACUCAACCUCUAGCAGUUGGAUACAGAAGCAAUUGUCGAACCUGGGCACCUAAGGGGACAGGACUGUCAGUGUCCUGGAAAUCAUGUUCUUCUCUUUGGUUUUCACCACCUCUUAAUGGCAUAUCUUCUAUAUUUCCUUUAAUGCGAACACAGGUAACGAGUUGGUUAUAACCCUUUUCUCAGGGCCAGGCUGCCAUGCCAUCGCUCCUCCAGAGAGCAAACACGAAACAUGAUCCUAUGGCAAGAACAUACAAUGCCAGGUCCCUGGAUUUAGGUCCUGCUCUGUCAUUGACUGUAUAUUCCCAUAAAGAAGAUUAAAACUC
rnacentral:lncRNA from 1 species